CCUACGGGAGGCAGCAGUGGGGAAUAUUGCACAAUGGGCGAAAGCCUGAUGCAGCAACGCCGCGUGAGCGAUGAAGGCCUUCGGGUCGUAAAGCUCUGUCCUCAAGGAAGAUAAUGUCGGUACUUGAGGAGGAAGCCCCGGCGAACUACGUGCCAGCAGCCGCGGUAAUACGUAGGGGGCUAGCGGUAUCCGGAAUUACUGGGCGUAAAGGGUGCGUAGGUGGUUUGUUAAGUCAGAGGUGAAAGGCUGGGGCUCAACCGUGGUAAGCCUUUGAAACUGGGAAACUUGAGUGCAGGAGAGGAGAGUGGAAUUCCUGGUGUAGCGGUGAAAUGCGUAGAUAUUAGGAAGAACACCAAUUGCGAAGGCAGCUCUCUGGACUGUAACUGACGCUGAGGCACGAAAGCGUGGGGAGCAAACAGGAUUAGAUACCCCGGUAGUC
rnacentral:rRNA from 1 species